CAAGUUUCUGCUUGCUCUGAAAGAUGCCGUAAUAUAAAUAACCUUUUCUUUAAAGGGCUCAUCUGUUUUGCAUCAGUGGCCGUGUCAGCACCACUGGGCGGGGAAGCGAGCCUGGGAGUUCUGCUGAAGCUGGCCCUGCCUCCUUCCCAUCCUGGAGAGGGAGUCUGCCUGAGUGUCUCUUUCAAGAUCAAAGACAGACUUGCACCCAGCCGAGCGGAACUUGAGUGCUGGGGAAUGUGAUUUUUGGUGGCUGCGAAGAUGUGAAAGAUGUCUUCCUGCUGAACAGCAUCCUCUUGGGAGGGGAAGACCAGGGACCCCGUGUGCCAGUAGGGUGUUCUCGGCCCUCUGACCUGCACCCCCACCCUCCGCACACACUACACAGAGGAAAGCAGCUCUGGGGGAGAAAUGCAAGCAUUCUUACAUGUACGGUUCAGUGGCAUUAUGUUUAUCCUGUUGGUCAGCCAUCACCACUGCUUUCAGAUUUCUUCCAUCACACUUAACAGAAGAGGAUUACAGUGGGAUUGUAACACCACCCUUACACAGGUCACAUCCUUGAUCCAAUGUAAAGGGAGUUUCCCUGGGAUGUGCCCUGCACUACCUUUUAUCUCUCAAGAGAUAAAAGGAAAGGGAAACAAGUAGAGAGUUGGGGACCUCAUAUCACCAAGAAAGCAGCGCCGGGAGCAGAGUGUGUUCUUUGGACCUGAGGUUCCUGUGCUAAGAUGCUCCCAGACCAAGGGAAGAUGGAUGAUGAGGACCUUGCUCCAGAGCCGACAAAGAGAGAAAGCCUUCCUCUGGAGCUGAUGCCCUAGAUUUGGACUUCUAGCCUACUAGAUUGUAAGAAAAUAAAUUUCUCUUUGUUAAAGCCAUCCACUUGUGGUAUUUCUGUUAUAGCAGCUAAGUCAGAUAGAUAGAUGAUAGAUUAUAGGUAGAUAGAUGAUGUGUAGAUAGAUAGAUGAUAGAUGACAGAUAGAUUGAUAGAUUCAUAGAUAGAUGAUAGAUAAUAGAUGACAGAUAGAUAACAGGUCGAUAGAAAGAUAAAUGAUAGCUAAGUAAAUGGAUGAUAGAUUAGAUAGAUGGUAGAUAGAUGGAUGAUAGUUAGAUUAGAUAGAUGGAUGAUUGAUAGAUAGAGAUUGAUAGAUAGCUGCCAUCAAGACGAGUCCGACUCACGGCGACCUCAUGUACGACAGAAUGCAGUCUUGCCCGGUCCUGCGUCAUCCUCACAAUCAUCAGCAUGUUGAGAGUCCAUCACUGAGGCUGUUGCACCAGCCCAUCUCUCCGAGGGUGUCUCCUUUACCCUC